CGCGCUUGCGCAGCCUCAACAUGCAAGUCUAGGGGACGUAGCAAUACGUCACCGGCGGACGGGUGCGUAACACGUGGGAACAUACCUUUCGGUACGGAACAACUGAGGGAAACUUCAGCUAAUACCGUAUACGCCCGUAAGGGGAAAGAAUUUCGCCGAAAGAUUGGCCCGCGUUCGAUUAGCUAGUUGGUGAGGUAAUGGCUCACCAAGGCUCCGAUCGAUAGCUGUUCUGAGAGGAAGAUCAGCCACACUGGGACUGAGACACGGCCCAGACUCCUACGGGAGGCAGCAGUUGGGAAUCUUGGACAAUGGGGGAAACCCUGAUCCAGCCAUGCCGCGUGAGUGAUGAAGGCCUUCGGGUUGUAAAGCUCUUUUACCCGGGAAGAUAAUGACUGUACCGGGAGAAUAAGCUCCGGCUAACUUCGUGCCAGCAGCCGCGGUAAUACGAAGGGGGCUAGCGUUGUUCGGAUUCACUGGGCGUAAAGGGUGCGUAGGUGGUGGGGUAAGUCGGAUGUGAAAUCUCGGAGCUCAACUCCGAAAUGGCAUUGGAAACUACCCUGCUGGAGGUUUGGAGGGGGGACUGGAAUUCUCGGUGUAGCGGUGAAAUGCGUAGAGAUCUGGAGGAAUACCGGUGGCGAAGGCGGCCCCCUGGACGAAGACUGACGCUCAGGUGCGAAACAUGGGGGAGCAAACAGGAUUAGAUACCCUGGUAGUCCCCACU
rnacentral:rRNA from 1 species